rnacentral:rRNA from 1 species
UACGUAGGUGUCAAGCGUUGUCCGGAUUUAUUGGGCGUAAAGCGCCCGCAGGCGGCUUGCCAAGUUCGAUGUGAAAUCUCCCGGCUCAACUGGGAGGGUGCAUCGAAAACUGGCAGGCUUGAGGCAGGGAGAGGGAUGUGGAAUUCCAGGUGUAGUGGUGAAAUGCGUAGAUAUCUGGAGGAACACCCAUGGCGAAGGCAGCUCCCUGGCUCGAUCCUGACGCUGAGGCGGCGAAAGCGUGGGGAGCGAACGGG